GCCAGGUGCAGUGGCCCACACCUGUAAUCCCAGUGGCUUGGGAGGCUGAGGCAGGAGGAUUGCGAGUUCAAGGUCAGCCUCAGCAAUAUCGAGGCGCUAAGCAACUUAGUGAGACCCUGUCUCUA
rnacentral:sRNA from 1 species